GACGAACGCUGGCGGCGUGCUUAACACAUGCAAGUCGAACGCUGAAGCUCAGCUUUUGUUGGGUGGAUGAGUGGCGAACGGGUGAGUAACACGUGAGUAACCUGCCCCCUUCUUUGGGAUAACGCCCGGAAACGGGUGCUAAUACUGGAUAUUCACUGGUCUUCGCAUGGGGGUUGGUGGAAAGGGUUUUUCUGGUGGGGGUGGGCUCGCGGCCUAUCCGCUUGGUGGUGGGGUGAUGGCCUACCAAGGCUUUGACGGGUAGCCGGCCUGAGAGGGUGACCGGUCACAUUGGGACUGAGAUACGGCCCAGACUCCUACGGGAGGCAGCAGUGGGGAAGAUUGCACAAUGGGCGCAAGCCUGAUGCAGCGACGCCGCGUGAGGGAUGGAGGCCUUCGGGUUGUGAACCUCUUUCGCUCAUGGUCAAGCCGCAACAAUGGUUGUGGUGAGGGUAGUGGGUAAAGAAGCGCCGGCUAACUACGUG
rnacentral:rRNA from 1 species